UACGUAGGGCGCAAGCGUUAUCCGGAAUUAUUGGGCGUAAAGAGCUCGUAGGCGGUUUGUCGCGUCUGCCGUGAAAGUCCGGGGCUCAACUCCGGAUCUGCGGUGGGUACGGGCAGACUAGAGUGAUGUAGGGGAGACUGGAAUUCCUGGUGUAGCGGUGAAAUGCGCAGAUAUCAGGAGGAACACCGAUGGCGAAGGCAGGUCACUGGGCCGCAACUGACGCUGAGGAGCGAAAGCGUGGGGAGCGAACAGG
rnacentral:rRNA from 1 species